rnacentral:misc_RNA from 1 species
AACGCACGAGACCUGCGGACCUGCGGAAGGAUCAUUAAUGAGAAACUGCCCCUCGCGGGUAGAUCUCCCACCCUUUGUAAACUUACCUUUGUUGCUUUGGCAGGCCCGUCUCCGGACCGCCGGCCUCGGCUGGCCAGUGCCUGCCAGAGGAUUCUAAAACUCUGUCUGUCAGUGUUGUCUGAGUCUAUAUACAAUCGUUAAAACUUUCAACAACGGAUCUCUAGAUCGGAAGAGCACACG